UAGGGAAUAUUGGACAAUGGGGGAAACCCUGAUCCAGCCAUGCCGCGUGAGUGAUGAAGGCCCUAGGGUUGUAAAGCUCUUUCGGCGGGGAAGAUAAUGACGGUACCCGCAUAAGAAGCCCCGGCUAACUUCGUGCCAGCAGCCGCGGUAAUACGAAGGGGGCUAGCGUUGCUCGGAAUCACUGGGCGUAAAGCGCACGUAGGCGGAUUGUUAAGUCAGGGGUGAAAUCCCGGAGCUCAACUCCGGAACUGCCUUUGAUACUGGCAAUCUUGAGUCCGGGAGAGGUGAGUGGAACUGCGAGUGUAGAGGUGAAAUUCGUAGAUAUUCGCAAGAACACCAGUGGCGAAGGCGGCUCACUGGCCCGGUACUGACGCUGAGGUGCGAAAGCGUGGGGAGCAAACAGG
rnacentral:rRNA from 1 species